AUGAACGCUGGCGGCGUGCUUAACACAUGCAAGUCGAACGGAAAGGCCCAAGCUUGCUUGGGUACUCGAGUGGCGAACGGGUGAGUAACACGUGGGUGAUCUGCCCUGCACUUCGGGAUAAGCCUGGGAAACUGGGUCUAAUACUGGAUAGGACCACUUCUUGGAUGUUGUGGUGGAAAGUUUUUUCGGUGUGGGGUGAGCUCGCGGCCUAUCAGCUUGUUGGUGGGGUAAUGGCCUACCAAGGCGUCGACGGGUAGCCGGCCUGAGAGGGUGUACGGCCACAUUGGGACUGAGAUACGGCCCAGACUCCUACGGGAGGCAGCAGUGGGGAAUAUUGCACAAUGGGCGCAAGCCUGAUGCAGCGACGCCGCGUGGGGGAUGACGGCCUUCGGGUUGUAAACUCCUUUCGCUAGGGACGAAGCGUUUUGUGACGGUACCUGGAGAAGAAGCACCGGCUAACUACGUG
rnacentral:rRNA from 1 species